rnacentral:rRNA from 1 species
AGAGUUUGAUCAUGGCUCAGGAUGAACGCUAGCUACAGGCUUAACACAUGCAAGUCGAGGGGCAGCAUGAGGUCAGCUUGCUGACUUUGAUGGCGACCGGCGCACGGGUGAGUAACGCGUAUCCAACCUGCCCAUGACUAAGGGAUAAUCCGUAGAAAUGCGGUCUAAUACCUUAUGUUGUCCGAGGAAGACAUCUGAUUCGGAUGAAAGAUUUAUCGGUUAUGGAUGGGGAUGCGUCUGAUUAGCUUGUUGGCGGGGUAACGGCCCACCAAGGCGACGAUCAGUAGGGGUUCUGAGAGGAAGGUCCCCCACAUUGGAACUGAGACACGGUCCAAACUCCUACGGGAGGCAGCAGUGAGGAAUAUUGGUCAAUGGACGAGAGUCUGAACCAGCCAAGUAGCGUGCAGGAUGACGGCCCUAUGGGUUGUAAACUGCUUUUAUACGGGGAUAAAGGGUGUCACGUGUGACAUUUUGCAGGUACCGUAUGAAUAAGGACCGGCUAAUUCCGUGCCAGCAGCCGCGGUAAUACGGAAGGUCCGGGCGUUAUCCGGAUUUAUUGGGUUUAAAGGGAGCGUAGGCUGCCGGUUAAGUGUGUUGUGAAAUGCAGGCGCUCAACGUCUGCCUUGCAGCGCAUACUGUCCGGCUUGAGUACGCACAACGUUGGCGGAAUUCGUCGUGUAGCGGUGAAAUGCUUAGAUAUGACGAAGAACUCCGAUUGCGAAGGCAGCUGACGGGAGCGUUACUGACGCUGAAGCUCGAAAGUGCGGGUAUCGAACAGGAUUAGAUACCCUGGUAGUCCGCACGGUAAACGAUGGAUGCCCGCUGUUUGUCCUCAAGGAUAAGCGGCCAAGCGAAAGCAUUAAGCAUCCCACCUGGGGAGUACGCCGGCAACGGUGAAACUCAAAUGAAUUGACGG